UACGUAGGAGACGAGCGUUGUCCGGAGUUACUGGGCGUAAAGAGCGCGCAGGCGGUCGUUCAAGUCGAGUGUGAAAGCCCCCGGCUCAACUGGGGAGGGUCACUCGAUACUGAUCGACUUGAAGGCAGGAGAGGGAAGCGGAAUUCCCGGUGUAGUGGUGAAAUGCGUAGAUAUCGGGAGGAACACCAGUGGCGAAGGCGGCUCCUUGGCCUGUCC
rnacentral:rRNA from 1 species